UAGGCAGGUGGAGAAGGAUCACUUCAUUCUGAAGGAUGUGAGAAGGAAUGUGAGAAUCGUUGCUCAACAGCUAAGGACAAGGAAGCAUGUCUAAACUAUUGUAAAAUUUCUUGUGGUGGAAAAUGUUUUUGUGUUCCAUCUGGAACAUCUGGUCAUAAGGAAGAAUGUCCAUGCUACAACAACUAGAAAACUAAGAGAGGAACACCCAAAUGUCCCUAGUUUCUGUAUUGUUCCUGCAUGCAUAAAUCUCAAUCAAAGCAAUUUAUGUUUCUUGAUUAAUAAUAAAAAAACAGUACUUAUAUGUUGAA